CCUACGGGUGGCUGCAGUGGGGAAUAUUGGACAAUGGGGGGAACCCUGAUCCAGCCAUGCCGCGUGUGUGAAGAAGGCCCUCGGGUUGUAAAGCACUUUCAGUGAGGAAGAACGCCUGGUGGUUAAUACCCAUCAGGAAAGACAUCACUCACAGAAGAAGCACCGGCUAACUCCGUGCCAGCAGCCGCGGUAAUACGGAGGGUGCGAGCGUUAAUCGGAAUUACUGGGCGUAAAGCGCGCGUAGGUGGCUUGAUAAGCCGGUUGUGAAAGCCCCGGGCUCAACCUGGGAACGGCAUCCGGAACUGUCAAGCUAGAGUGCAGGAGAGGAAGGUAGAAUUCCCGGUGUAGCGGUGAAAUGCGUAGAGAUCGGGAGGAAUACCAGUGGCGAAGGCGGCCUUCUGGACUGACACUGACACUGAGGUGCGAAAGCGUGGGUAGCAAACAGGAUUAGAUACCCCGGUAGU
rnacentral:rRNA from 1 species